UCAAAAUACAGAUGGCACUCUGCCGAAAUUUUUAUAAAAUUUACGGAAAAAUAAAAAUGGACAAAAAUUUUAACUAGUUUCAAACUUCAAUUAAAUGUUUUUAUUUCCUACCAAAAUGCUCACCACUUCCAAAAUAUAAGAAAAUGGUUUUAAAAUCCCUUGUAGUAUAUUUAAUGGGUUACUGGUAGGUGAAGUACGGUAAUUCAUUAGGUGUACUACGGGAACAUGUUACAUCUUACAAGGAGUAGGGUGUGACAUGUUUAGUGGUAUCAGAGCAAGGUUUUAAAAUAAAUUUUGAACUGUGAAUUUGAAAUAUUUUGUCGGUAAAUACAACUGCUCAAAUGUUUGAUAUAUAUGACAUAUUUACAUCAUGAAUAUGCACUAACGGAGGUCAACCUCCUUGUGUUUGUUAUCAGAGAGUAGAAAAAUUCUGGAAAACAGAAUGGAAGAGGGAGAUCAUUCCGUAGAGCAAUCUGUCGAGGCUGAGGCCCGAGGAGAAGCCCCAGCACUCCAGAAUGUGAGUGGGUUAGCCACUCCAGCUCCUCCUCAAGCACCGCAGUUUCCUGCUCAGUUGCACAGCAAAUGGCUGCGUUCUUUCAACAAAUGGCGGGAAAUGUGCCACCUCAAGCACAGACACAAGCACCUGCAGCACAACCACAACCUCCGGCUCGGCAAUAUGAGAAAUUAACAAAAUUUGGGGCUACAGAAUUCAAAGGAACAGUGGAUCCACUGGAAGCAGAACAGUGGUUAGAGAGGAUGGAACGGGUUUUCAGAAAACUACAAUGUGCUGAAGAGUUGAAGUUCGAAUAUUCAGUAUCACUUCUGCAAGGGGAUGCAUAUGAGUGGUGGAAGACCAUCCCCUACAGUCUGGUAGAGCCACCAGUCCUCACAUGGGCAGACUUUUUAAGGGAAUUUCGGUAAAAGUGGGUCCCCGAUACUUAUGUAGAUAUGAAGCUGCAAGAGUUUUUAAGUUUGAAGCAAGGGGAUAGAACUGUAGCAGAGCAUGAACAGGACUUUUUAAGGCUAAGCCAUUAUGCUGGAAGCUUAGUCUCCACCCCCAAAGACCGGUGUAAAAGGUUUGAGGUUGGGUUGAGGCCUAGCUUGAGAAUGCAAGUGGUAGGGUUCCGACGCUAGAAUUUUUCUGAAUUAACUUCACAAGCCCUGGAACUGAAAAGGAUAGAAUCAGAAUGGGCAAUGAAAAAGAGUACACAAGAGAAAGAGAAAACUGAAAAGGUUACUGGUCAAGCUACUGAGAGUGGCUUUAGGAAAAGAAAACAUUUUGGAGGAUCUAGCUCGUGUGAAUCGGGUAGAGGUAUAUCUUCUAGACAGAAACCAUCCCAAUCCGAUCAGUAAAAUCAACGGACACGCAGAAAUACGCUGUCGGAUUGACUUUGUGAGACUUGUGGUAAAUCACAUAGUGGAGUAUGUUAUAGAGCUAUAGGAGUACGUUUCAAUUGUGGAGGGACUGGUCAUUUUGCUAAGGAUUGCAUAAGUCCACGCCGUUAUGGAUCAUUUACCAUGGCAGAAGAAUCAGCCCAAGUUUCUACCCCGAAGAGUUUACCAAUAGUUGGUAGAGGCAGAGGCAGAGGUAGGAGUAAUACACCUGGAAGUCAGAGUACUGUAAAUCAACCAGGACAAGGUGAUGCUCUAGUGAGAGUGUACACUAUGCGACAGAGGAACAAGGAUGAAACUUCUAGUAUGGUUGCUGUUGAAAAAGACCCAGAAGGUAUAAGGAACUGAGUCAAGGCCUAGAGGCGACUCACGUCAGAUAGAGAAAAUGACAUAGCAGCAGAGCGAGCUGCUACAGUUAGAGAGGAGUAUAAUGGAAGAAUUUUUGUAUGGGUAUUUGUCUAUACCCUGGUAGUUUAGUUUGAUGUAAAUAUGAUAGUAUGCAUAUGUAUCUCUGUAAUUUGAGCAGUUGUACAAAUAAAAUUGUAAUAAUAUUAUUUUUGAGAUUUUGCAUUUGUAAAUUAACUUAUGAUUGUAAAUUAAUGAUUUAAAAUGUAAUGUGCAUGAGAUAUGAAAUAUUUUGAGAUAUUAA